rnacentral:rRNA from 1 species
CGUAGGGUGCAAGCGUUAAUCGGAAUUACUGGGCGUAAAGCGUGCGCAGGCGGCUUUGCAAGACAGAUGUGAAAUCCCCGGGCUCAACCUGGGAACUGCAUUUGUGACUGCAAGGCUGGAGUACGGUAGAGGGGGAUGGAAUUCCGCGUGUAGCAGUGAAAUGCGUAGAUAUGCGGAGGAACACCGAUGGCGAAGGCAAUCCCCUGGACCUGUACUGACGCUCAUGCACGAAAGCGUGGGGAGCAAACAGGAUUAGAUACCCUGGUAGUCCACGCCCUAAACGAUGUCAACUGGUUGUUGGACGGCUUGCUGUUCAGUAACGAAGCUAACGCGUGAAGUUGACCGCCUGGGGAGUACGGCCGCAAGGUUG